AGCAGAACUGUGCUCUUACCCUGCUAAUUGAACCUUCACACUCUGCUCUUACUGGUGCAAUGUGCAAUUAAUGAAGAUUGAACACCAGGCUGCUCCAAUUUAGCCAUGAAACCUAAAAUCCCACACUAAAAUGAUGACAGGUGUUUCAGUUUCAUUGUCCAACCCCUGUAGGUGAUGUAUUCUUAUAUGAUGUUAAAACCAGGGAAAAGCUAAGGCUAAGGCAUACGCAGGAAUAGUAGUAGGAGUGUAGAGAAGAAUAAAAGUGUGGUUUGAUUGAUGAAAUGAUUGAUAAAAAGGAGUGACUUGUAAUGUUCAGGCUGUCAGGAACAUUAUUAAAAUGCAAGUGGCAGAUGUAAAUAUGGAUGAACCUAUUUAUAAGAUGUACAAUAUAUUUAUUUUCUACAUAUAAAGUAUAAUUCUAAAUCUCUCUAUAUAUAUAAAUAUAUUUAUUUAUUGCAAAGUCUUUAUUUUGUAAUGAACUUGAAAUUAUAAGAACUGUAAAUUCUACUGAAAUUACACAAAAAAAGGGCCAACAUCAAUUUGACCUGAAUGGAUGACAAUAAAAUUGUCCUGCUAUAUUA